GAGGACGACGAUGAUUAGACGAACUAAAGGAGAGAGCGAUGGAGGAGGGGAGGGAGGGAUACAACCGAGGCGAGGAGAUGGAAGAAGCCGCACGGCGGGAGAGAAGACGAAGAGGAAAUGGCGACGUGGAAAAAAAAGCACUGGUGCAAUAAAAGCACGCUGGACUGGUUUCGACAUGCAGCGUCUCAUCAACAGACCCGCCUGAACCAAAGCUGGUGAACUGCCCAAAGCUAGAAGCAAGUACUCUCUUUUUCAGACAUGGCUUCGACGAAAUGUUAUAUUAUAUAAUAAUCAUUAGCGUCGCUGUUGAAUCCGCGCCAAAAGCUUGCGUGUUUUGGCCAGUGCCUCUUGGGUUGUGCACUCCCAGAAGGAUUUGUGGUUGAUGGGAAGUGCAUUUGUUUUUUAUAAUUAAAAUGUUUUAUGUGUAGGGGGCAGAUAUCUAACGAGGUGUAUUGCAUGCUUGUGUAUUUGAUCACUUCAUGAAUCGGAUAUCCCAGCUUCGUAUGUACGUAUGUACGUUGAACUUCUGUCGCACCGUACGUAUCCAACUGUGCUAAUCGGAGGUGCAGGAGCUUAAUUUGUUUUCUGGCAAACCAAGGCUCUAUCAAGAAUCGUUCCUUGUUCCACUCUGUGCCAACUGUUCACAAGAACCUUGGAAUGCCUACGUUGCCUGAGGAUGCCAUGCUUCUUGUACUCUGUGUAAAGCCCUGCAUGAGCCUGCCUGCACCUGUUUGCUGCUCUGAAAUUUGAUAUUUUGAUGUUAACUUAUCUGUUCUAAUUUGUUGCAUAAACAUCUACUUGCCAUUAUGAUGUAACAUA